rnacentral:rRNA from 1 species
GUGAGGAAUAUUGCGCAAUGGAGGCAACUCUGACGCAGCCAUGCCGCGUGCAGGAAGAAGGCGCUACGCGUUGUAAACUGCUUUUAACCGGGAAGAAACCCCAGGACGUGUCCUGGGUUGACGGUACCGGAGGAAUAAGCACCGGCUAACUUCGUGCCAGCAGCCGCGGUAAUACGAAGGGUGCAAGCGUUAUCCGGAUUCAUUGGGUUUAAAGGGUGCGUAGGCGGAGCGUUAAGUCAGUGGUGAAAUCCUGCAGCUUAACUGUAGACUUGCCAUUGAUACUGGCGCUCUUGAGUGCGCUUGAAGUGGGCGGAAUGUGCCGUGUAGCGGUGAAAUGCUUAGAUAUGGCACAGAACACCAAUUGCGAAGGCAGCUCACUAAGGCGAUACUGACGCUGAGGCACGAAAGCGUGGGGAUCGAACAGGAUUAGAAACCCCGGUAGUC